rnacentral:rRNA from 1 species
AUUGAACGCUGGCGGCAUGCCUUACACAUGCAAGUCGAACGGCAGCACGGGGGGUAACCCCUGGUGGCGAGUGGCGAACGGGUGAGUAAUAUAUCGGAACGUGUCCUGUAGCGGGGGAUAACCUAUCGAAAGAUGGACUAAUACCGCAUACGACCUACGUGUGAAAGCGGAGGACCGCAAGGCUUCGCACUAUAGGAGCGGCCGAUAUCGGAUUAGCUAGUUGGCGGGGUAACGGCCCACCAAGGCGACGAUCCGUAGCUGGUCUGAGAGGACGAUCAGCCACACUGGAACUGAGACACGGUCCAGACUCCUACGGGAGGCAGCAGUGGGGAAUUUUGGACAAUGGGCGCAAGCCUGAUCCAGCCAUGCCGCGUGAGUGAAGAAGGCCUUCGGGUUGUAAAGCUCUUUCGGCGGGGACGAAACGGUUCGUGCUAAUACCACGGACUACUGACGGUACCCGCAGAAGAAGCACCGGCUAACUACGUG